rnacentral:tRNA from 1 species
ACCUGGGUGGCUCAGUCAGUUGAGCAUCCAACUUAGGCUUGGGUCAUGAUUUGUGGUUCGUAGGUUCAAGCCCUACAUUGGGCU